GUCAAAGUAGCAGGAAAACAUCACUGGAUCCACCGCUCCCAGAUCAAGAAGGCCAUGCCAGAAGAAGAAGCAUCAAUGGCUGAAAGAUGGACUGUUCAACCCACAGACAAUCCACUAAAGAUAAGACUUUCUCAGGUGCAGAAUUCUGCAGUCCAAGAGCUUCACCUGGACCAGGGUUGGGGGUAAAUUCCCCACCUUGGGAAAGCCUUGAGCAGGCAAGAACCCAAUCCAUUUACCUGAGGGCUGCUGAGCAGGAGUUUAAAAGGCACAGAAAUGACUUUCAUUACGGAUGGGAUUGGAGACCUCUGUCUAAGCACCUGUCUGGUCUUGGCAGUCCCAAGGCCUGUGGUCCUGGUCCCUGUUGAUCAGUGGAUACAAAGAUGCACUGCCCCAUGCUGCCAGCCCCACACAGGAGCCCUGCAGAUUGGCACCUUCCUUCCUUGGGUUGGAGAGGCAGAGUGUGGAGUGGUGGCCAGAUUGUGAACCUGGAACAUGCAGCUCCAGCAGCGCCUUGGUACAGGGACAUGUUCCUUUCUGUGUCCUUCAUUUUCUAGAACUUCAAGAAGUUUUGCAAAUUAAAGCAGCCUCAUUUGGUCUAUAAUGACAAUGAGAUAAGUCUUAUGGGUGUUAUGGAUUGUGAGGGAAUAUUUCUCAGUGACAUUUAUCCUCUCUUCAAAUAAAGAAAAAGAUAGUCAUUUCAUGAAUUUAUUUAGUUGUAAAGCAGGAGAGCAAAAUAGUCAGUGAAUGGUAAAACGAAAGCCCCCUUUUGUCCAUUUGCCUUAGAUUAAGCUCUGACCUUUCCCUUGCCAUUCUCAACUUAACCUGUUACCAGCACCAGCUUCUACCAGGGGCCCGGGCUACAAUCCUGUCCUUAUCUUUCAGGAUCACCAUACCUAUCCUGGAAAGUACAUUAUAUGUGAUGGAACAUUGAGAUUUCCCCCUUCAUCUGGUUUUAUUUAGAGUGAGAAAACUGGAGGGAAAAGUGAAAGGCAGGUGAUGGAACAUGAGAAAAGCUCUUCUCUUAAGAAGGAAGGAACUUAAUUUUGAUUGUCAGUUGAAAUGUUCAAAUAAGUGGACUCAUUUUCCUGCCAUAGAGAUGUGAAAAGACAAAGACUCUUGAUCUCUCAUUAUUUAGUAUUGUUUUGAGGAUUAUGAAAAGAUAUUUUAGAAAAUAGAAAUUUCUAACGCCAUAAAG